rfam:Camelus ferus unplaced genomic scaffold scaffold252, whole genome shotgun sequence.
GGGUGUAUAGCUCAGUGGUUGAGCUCGUGCCCAUCAUGUACAAGGUCCUGGGUUCAGUCCCCAGUACCUCCA